CAACAACAACAUUGACAUGACUCUACAAAUCUUUUUGAAACUCACCAAAACAUUUUUACAGCAAACUGAAGCAGAAAGGAGGAAGAAAUUACAACGGUAAAAGAACACAACACUUGGAAUGAAAUAAUACUCAACUCAAUGUGUGUUUUCCUUAGACUUCUACAACCUGCAUUGCUGCAACUCGUAUGUGUUGCAGAAUCAGCGUUUGGCAAGCAUGGCUCAGAUUGUGGGAGUUCCUGUGAAAGUGAAUGUGAAUGUUGUGCAUGUUUUCCAUAAGAAUUGUGAGGCCUGAGGGAGGUUUCACUUGCAUUACCGACUGUCUUCACUAGCAAGCUGCUGCCGACGCUCCCAUGGCUAUGCCCCACCUGUGUGCACAGGUUUACAGCAGCUUACCUCGCAGCAGGUGGAGGUGGAAGUUUUUGGAGGUUGGCUUCAAGGAUGUCUUCAAGGAAAGAUGUUCUCUUUGCAUCAGUUGCCAUUACGGCUCUAAGUUGGAAGUUCGCCCUGCCUUGGGUGGACAUUCUGUGCAAGGCUCCGAGUUCUGUGAGGCGUUGCAAGGAUUUAUAUGUGCAAGUAUCGUUUGUUGAUUGUUUUUUUGUAGUGUGCGUCAUGGUGUCUAUGAUUCCUUCUUUGCUAUGCUGGGAGAGCGUUUUGGUACAUUCCUUGGAGGAGCCUUUUUUUUUUUUUUUUUUUUUUUUUUUGGUCUUUGGAAAGUGGUUGUGGCGUGUGUUCGCUGCGUGUGUUACCAGCCGUUUCGUGCAAAGUUGUAGGUGCCUCCCCAGGUUUAGGGUUUCAGAUGUGUCUGCUCCAGCAAGGAGCACUGAAUUAUAGUGCUUCAUUGUUUGUUUUUUUAUAUGUCUGUUCCAAUUUGGAUUUUCAUCUUAAUUUUUUCCCUUCCCUCAACGAGCUUUGUUUCUUCGUAGUCAAGAGCAAGAUAUUGAAGAGGGGCUCACCAUGUGGAAAAGUUGAGUGGAUGAUUUGAUACAACGGUGUGGGAGGAAUGCACAUAUUUGGUCACACACGAGCUGUUACUCCAUCUUUCAUAUGCCUUGGACAAGAAAUGGGUGCGGGGGCUAAACCUACCUGAUGUUUUCUUCUCUCUGCGACCAGCAAUGCAGAACCAAAAUGUUCGCUGUCAAUGAGCUUUGAUAUUAUUGGUAUUGUGGACAAGUGAGGAGUCCUGUGUUAGAUUAUCAUAUCAACAAACAUAUUUCUAUUCGCACCGUUCCUCUCCUCUUCCCCCUCGUCGUAUUUCCUUGGGUCAAGAAGAGGGCUAAAUCGUAAGACCGAGAAGUGUAAGAACCGUCGAAUGAGAUAAUGGAGGCUUAUCCUUCUGCAAUAGGAAGUGUGGGAAGAACGUGGGGAUGUGGACGUCUUAGAUGUAAUGAGACCUCAAACAAAAGUGCGCCGGCACAACUGGAUGGCUUGGAAAGUCGCGAUCUUCACCUGUGAAUGGUAGCUUCAGGCCAAAGGGUGCGAUGCAAACAACAUACUUGUCAAGAGCUUUGCAAAUUAGGGCAUUGUCCACUUUGCACGGAAACUAUAUUUGCAGAGCUGACUUGCGCAUGUGGCCGAAUCUCUAAACCCUUACCGCUUUUUGGAGCUCAAUUACCAGGUUUAGAGUAUUUUAUCUUCGCAUGCAGAUUCAAAAUGGAAGUAUCUUUUGAAUUGCAAUCCCGUAAAGUAUCAGACAACACUUUCGAGGUCCAGAAAAUGCAGUGUAGUCAAGUAGCUAUCUUAAGUCUUGUAGUCCACGAAGCAACCCAUCGCUGUCAUUUUGGAGACUCUUCGUCCUGCACGGCGACUAUUCCAAACGAAGGUGUCGGUGAUAAUGCAGUGCUUCGUGGAGUUUCGUGUAGCAUUUGGAUGGCUGGUGUGGAGAGGGGAGGGGGUGUAUCAAAUGGCUAAAUGAUAGGGGAUGAUAAUGAAUUUAGUUGGUCAGGAGCCUCUAGUAUUUGCUUCUGUCCAUGUCAAAUCCAAACUGUCGGUAAUAUCAUCCAUGCCAAAGACGCUUGCUUUGGCGUGACUGGACCAGUCUUUGCUCUUUCAUUUAACCCAUAAGUGAUCAUAGAGUCUAGUCGUGUAGUUGGGGUCCCUGAUCUCCCGCGAGAUUCAUAUGUGAGCUCUUUCGUAUUACGUUUUGCCAGUUAGUGUAUUUGUCGCUGAGUGAAGUAAAUGUAUUAGCCAGCUUUGCGGAUACUGCUCGAGCCGCUCCAGCUCCAACUACCAGUGAAGACAAGUUCCUCCACUUGCGGUGGAGCUUUUGGGAACAUAGAUCUCAUGAACAGCAGGAUCAAAAGAAUACUUUAUAAAGAUGAGUUGAGGAUGCUUGGGAUGAUCAAGUAGGAGCUAGUCAUCAGGCUGAAGCUUGAUAAACCAUAGUUUUCCCUAUUUGAAUUUUUCAGAAUCCUGAGGACGCAUGUAAAUGUGAUAGUUCUGUUUUGAGCAGCGGGCCUGCAGAAAGAAGCACGACACAGAAGAGUUCUUUGAAACAUGUAAUUGGCGUUGUUGAGACAGGUAAUGUAAUCGGUUCAUUAGCUUUUCAUAUCUGUUAGACUGGUCAGUCAAACAGGAACAUCAAGUGAAUAAGAUUCAUCUCCAGGUCCUUUAUUAUUCUCAGCUUUGUUACCUGAUGGUGAGGACGACGACUGGGAGAAGCUGGAUGCUUUGUAAGAAAGUAGCGUGGUGAGCGAGAAAUCACCUUUUUCUUUUUACAACUUGAACAUUUAUUUCCUGAUAUCCUUGAUGUGAUGAACACCACUGUGACCUUGGAUUUUUGAGCUCAAUUUUCAAAACAUUGUCUUCAA